rnacentral:rRNA from 1 species
UACGUAGGGUGCGAGCGUUAAUCGGAAUUACUGGGCGUAAAGCGUGCGUAGGCGGCUUUGCAAGACAGAUGUGAAAUCCCCGGGCUUAACCUGGGAAUUGCAUUUGUGACUGCCCGGCUAGAGUUUGGCAGAGGGGGGUAGAAUUCCACGUGUAGCAGUGAAAUGCGUAGAUAUGUGGAGGAAUACCGAUGGCGAAGGCAGCCCCCUGGGUCAAGACUGACGCUCAUGCACGAAAGCGUGGGGAGCAAACAGG